GACGAACGCUGGCGGCGUGCUUAACACAUGCAAGUCGAACGGAAAGGCCCUGCUUUUGUGGGGUGCUCGAGUGGCGCACGGGUGAGAAACACGUGUGUAACCUGCCCUUGACUUUCGGAUAACUUCAGGAAACUGGGGCUAAUACCGGAUAGGAGCUCUUGCUGCGUGGUGGGGGUUGGAAAGUUUCGGCGGUUGGGGAAUGACUCGCGGCUUAUCCGCUUGUUGGUGGGGUUGUUGCUUACCAAGGCUUUGACGGAUAGGCGGCCUGAGAGGGGGGCCGGGCACCAGGGGCAUACGGGAGGGCCCAGAAGCCGACGGGAAGCAGGAGGGGGGAACCUUGCACAAUGGGGGGGAGCCCGAGUCGGGAAUGCCGGGUUCGGGAUGGUGGGCUUCUGGUGGUAAACCGCUUUCGACUUGGAUGAAGGGUUAGUGACGGUAAUGGGUGAAGAAGCACCGGCUAACUACGUG
rnacentral:rRNA from 1 species